AGAGUUUGAUCAUGGCUCAGGACAACGCUGGCGGCGCGCCUAACACAUGCAAGUCGAACGGAGCUUGUUUGUCUGAUUCUUUCGGGAUGACGACUUAUAAGCUUAGUGGCGAACGGGUGAGUAACACGUGAGUAACCUGCCCCAGAGUGGGGGACAACAGUUGGAAACGACUGCUAAUACCGCAUAAGCCCACGGUGUCGCAUGACACAGAGGGAAAAGGAGCAAUUCGCUUUGGGAUGGACUCGCGUCCGAUUAGCUAGAUGGUGAGGUAACGGCCCACCAUGGCGACGAUCGGUAGCCGGACUGGGAGGUUGAUCGGCCACAUUGGGACUGAGACACGGCCCAGACUCCUACGGGAGGCAGCA
rnacentral:rRNA from 1 species